GACGAACGCUGGCGGCGUGGAUUAGGCAUGCAAGUCGAACGGUAUCAUCCUUUCGGGGGUGAGAGAGUGGCGAACUGGUGAGUAACACGUAGGUUAUCUACCCUCAAGACGGGGACAACCCAGGGAAACUUGGGCUAAUACCGGAUGUGAGCAACUUUUAGUUGUUUGAAAGGUGGCGUAAGCUGUCGCUUGGGGAUGAGCCUGCGUCCUAUUAGUUAGUUGGUGAGGUAACGGCUCACCUAGGCAAUGAUAGGUAGGCGGCCUUAACGGGUGGUCGCCCACACUGGGAUUGAGAUACGGCCCAGACUCCUACGGGAGGCAGCAGUCGAGAAUAGUCUACAAUGGUCGGAAGACUGAUAGUGCGACGCCGCGUGAACGAUGAAUCCCUUCGGGGUGUAAAGUUCUUUUAUAUGUGAGCAGUGCUUCUUAUAUUAACAGUAUGGGGAGAGAGAUAUUAGCAUAUGAAUAAGCGACGGCUAACUCCGUGCCAGCAGCCGCGGU
rnacentral:rRNA from 1 species